ensembl:lncRNA
AUGAGGAACUCUCCCCCCGGCCCAAAGGGAAGAAGAAGAAGAAGAAGAGGAAGUCUGAGCGGAAGAGGAAAAGGAAAAGGUCUCCUUCCUACAGCUUGUCGCCACUGCGGAAGAAGAAGAAGAAGAAGAAGAGCUCCAAGAAAAGCAAGCGGCACAGGUAUACCUCCAAGAAGACCACGCACAGCAGCUCUUCGAGUUUCAAACGCAAGAGGAAGGAUGAGCGCAAGCACAAAAAAAGUUCUCGGACUCACUCCCGGCGGAAGCGGCGCUAUCGGAGGUCAGAGUCGGACGGUUCAUCUUACCGAUCUCCCUCAGAGGACAGGUAGGACCCCCCGCCCCCUCCCUCACGCCCCCCCCCAUCUGCCCUCAUUUCACCCCCUGGGUUUAUCUAAUCAGCUGGAGGCUGCUGGUCACACCGCGGCGAUGGGCGAUAAGGCAGAGGUGACUUCCCCGUCUCACGCCCUUAUCACGGCUUCACAGGAAGCGGCCCCGUGUUCGCUCCACGGAUCGAUGCGCUCCGUUAGAACGACGCUCUGCAGGAGGAGGGACGGGGUUUUUUUUGUUAUGGAUUAUACUGGGGACGGGGAGGACAGAUUUAACUGGUCAUAA